GUUUCGUUGAUUAGAUUGUGAUUGAUCAAUUUAGUGCAAAAUAGUGGGCAAAACGGAUCGAUCUGUGAAUCGGAGAUAUAUCGUUUUGGAUAUCAGGAUAUGUGAACUCGGACAAGAUGCCUAGCACCAUAAGAGGAAGAGCAAAGCUGCAGCUUAGGCGGAGUAUUGACCGAAGAAAUAAAUAUAUUUGUGGAAGCUAACAGUACGCGGAGUUACGGUCGUGAUAGCAGGGUCACUCGAGGUCAGUAACACACUGACAACGAACACAGGUCAGUCA
rnacentral:misc_RNA from 1 species